GCGCCAUUAGCUCAGCUGGUAGAGCAACUGACUCUUAAUCAGUGGGUCCUGGGUUCGAAUCCCCGAUGGCGCA
rnacentral:tRNA from 1 species